GACGUAGGGUGCGAGCGUUAAUCGGAAUUACUGGGCGUAAAGCGUGCGCAGGUGGUUUUGUAAGUCAGAUGUGAAAUCCCCGGGCUCAACCUGGGAACUGCAUUUGAGACUGCAAGGCUAGAGUGUGGCAGAGGGGGGUAGAAUUCCACGUGUAGCAGUGAAAUGCGUAGAGAUGUGGAGGAAUACCGAUGGCGAAGGCAGCCCCCUGGGCCACUACUGACACUCAUGCACGAAGGCGUGGGGAGCGAACAGG
rnacentral:rRNA from 1 species